rnacentral:lncRNA from 1 species
UCCUGCAUUACAUUGACCAAAAACUAUGUCUAAUUGCCUCUGCAUUCCAGGCACAAAUUCUGUUUGGUCCUGUAAUAUUGUAACAUGUUGCUGAGCCCUACAAUGGACAGGAUUUUGCAUGCCUUAUUAUUCCAAUACUUUUUUUUAACCCUACCUAGAUAAAUCCUCAUUUUCAAGAUAAAAUAAAAUGUCCAAAGAAAAUUGUUUUAGCAUAAUGUCGUUUCAGGUUGAGUAAAUGAUCAAAAGCAAGAUAAAGUCCAUGCUCUCUGAGAAACAAGAGUGUUGGAGCAAGGGAAGGAGGGCACUUUUAUAUAGACUUUGGAAGCACAUCUGUAGGUAUGGUUGGUAAUAUAUGCUAACAUGCAUUACUGUAGGAUAUUUCAAAAUCUCAUUAAAAUUCCAGGAUAACUUGUUGUGUUAACCUGAUACGAAGAAAUAGGGUCAUCCAUCUCAUGCCCUUUGGCCAUGUGAAAUCUACAAGUCUAAUGUAGAUUUCAUUUCAUUUCAUGAGGAUGUUGAAUAGUGUGCCACAGCUUCUCAUGCUUGCUUGCAGUAGUGAAGGGAUUAUGUCUAUAUUCAGUGUGUGGAGAUAUAUCUCUGUUCUUCUCUGCUUGCCUAAGGCACCCUAUGAUUGGAUAGAAUAAAAAUCUGAUAGCCUAUAGCAAAGUCAUGAGCAAAAAGUUGGAGUUCCACAAACAGAUUGGAACUCUGCGGAAGAAUCAGGCAUGGGGAGAUUCUCCACCUGGACUCGGGGGAUAUCACAUGUAUGAAACUGAAGAGAGGUAACCAGCCACUUGGCAACCAUAGGAUAGUAUAAAUGGGUUAAUAUAAGUUAAGAGCUAAUUGAGGAACAAGCCUAGCAUAAAGCCUAGGCAUAAAUAUGUAAAUUAGCCUCUGUGUCAUUAUUCUGGAACUGGGGCAGACGCAGAAAAGGCCAACCAGUUACACAGCAGUACACUCACUGUGGUCUUGUAGUUAGUAUUGAGAGUUAUAUAGUACUCCUUCAGUCUUUACUGUCAGUUUUGUUAGCAAACUAAGUCAGGGAGAAGGAAACAAUUGAAGAAACCCAGUUCAAAAACACUGUCCAGAAAAUACAUUUUCACAAACAUUUGCACCCCCAAAUUAUGCUAAUCCUGUCUAUAAUCUAUUGCUGCUGCUGGUUAAGGAACCGGGGUCCAUUUUCUCUCUUAUCCCUAUAGGCCAAUUCAUCUUUUCUUCUGUCCUAAGGUGAAAGACUCUCUUUCCUAGGAAAGAUCUUUGAAAGGCACACAGGUCAGAGAAUUGCCAGACUCUUACUGAUCAGUUAGAGCUGUCUGAAACCACAGCAAAGAGCCAUUCUUUAACUCUGAGGGCCUGAGUGCCACCCACCGCACCUCAGCUCAUUCUACAAUUAAAUUCAUGUACUUCUAGACUCCUGUGAUUCUACACACUUGCAUGGCCUUUGAGAGCAUGACAGGGGCUGCGCAUGGGACAAAGACCCUCUUGUAACUAAAGCAUGUAUUAAGGAGUCAUGGAAACAUGACAGGAUUUUUUUUUUCUUUUAAGACAUCUAAAGGAAAUUUAUGUUUGGAAUUUUGAAAGAACUCCAAACCUGUAGGGAAAGCUAGAAAAGACUAUACAGAAAUACACUACAAAUAUAACACAAGUGGAUGCAUCUUUUAAAAUCAGUGAUGCUUGGAAUACAGCCCUCAUAAAAUUUAAAACACCGUUUUAUUCGUAUACAUUUAUUGUUGCUUAUUGAAUGAGAAUGGCACCAUAGGCUUGUAUAUUUGAAUAUUUGGUUCUCAGUUGGUGGACUGCUUAGAAAGGAUUAAGAGAUGCAGCUUUGUUGGACAGGGUUUGGCCUGGUUGGAGGAGAUGUUUUAAUGGGAGUGGGUAGGCUUUGAGGUUUCAAAAGCCCACUCCAGGUUCAGUCGUUCUCUCUCCUCACUCUCGUUCUUGCUGUUGCUCUUUCUCUGACUCUUGCUUAUGAUUCAUAUGAAAGCUCUCGGUCACUGCUCUAGCACAAUGCCCACCUGCCCAUUGUACUGCUUUCUACCAUGAUAGUCAUAAAGCAACCAUCUGAAACUGUGAGCAAGCCCACAACUCUAUGAUUUUCUUCUAUGUAUUGUCUUGGUCAUGGCAUCUCAUCACAGAAAUAGAGCAGUUACUAAGCCAAUUGCCCAUCAGUGCAGUUGUUUCCUAGUCAUUUUCAUGCAACUGUAUUGUUCUUUGACCAUGCUUACCCCAGUUUACUAAAAAAAUUCUAAAACUGUUUUGUAGAUAAUUCUUAUUUCUCACUGUCUUCUCCUCCAAAUGAAGGAUUCAUUUACACUCCAAACUUAUCUAUGCAUUCUGUAAGUAAUUGCUUGUGACACUUAAAAAAAAACAGUAUAACAAGAGAGUUAGGAUACUACAAAGAAUCUCUACUUUAUAUUAUCCAAAUCAUUGUUUUCAAAGAGAAUUCUCAAGAGAAAAAUAAUCAAAAUGACCUCCAUCCCAUCCUGUAGACACCCUCACCACUGUCUUUAGGUUACUCCUCAAUUGAUCAAAUACUACACUUGACAAUGCUUAUCCUGCUGAAGCUCCUUAUUCAUAGGCAUAGCAAACAUAUGCCUGCUGGAGAACAGAAAGUAACUGAUGCAGAAAUGGAUAAUCAAAGCAAAAGUGUAGUUACGGAGCUAGAAGGAGAAAACUCACUAAAGGGACCCACAUGAAGAGAGCCAUCAAAUCUGAUCCAGUUUAGCCACUGAAUGCCAUUCAACCAUCACCUUGAGAAUCACAUUAGAUUCGACUUUCAUUCAGGUUCGAAAGACUAGCACUGUGGAUCACAUUUCAUGAUUAUUUAGAGAUCUUUCAAUUGAUAAAUCAGAUAAUUAUGUGACUAUUGGACUUUUAUGAAUCCUGCUAUUUGAUUCUGUUUUGCCUCAUUUGUUUCUUGGGCUUAAUGGCCAGUUUUGGGCUUUGUUUCAUGAUUUUAAAGCCAUGGAUAGUUUAACAUUGAUUCAACAAAUCAGUUUUGGAUAAAAAUUUAAGAAGAAUGUCAAGUCAACUCAAUAGAACAUAUUACAGUAGUUAAUGUGUGCCCAAGCACAAAUAAUACCAAUAGGUUUAUGUUAGUUAGCCUUGUGUCACAUAAUGGAUAUUUUAGGUAAUAAACUUAUAGAAAAAAUGAUUUUGGCUUAGGAUUCCAAUCUGCAGUCCUUUGGCAUCAUGGCUUUGGGUCUAUGGUGAGGUAACAGAUUAUGUUGGGACAUCAUAGCAUACACACACACACACACACACACACACACACAUAUACACACACAUAUACACACACACACACACAUAUAUAUACAUAUAUACACAUAUACAUGUAUAUGUGUAUGUGUGUGUAUGUAUGUGUAUGUGUAUGUAUAUCCAGGGGGCAAAAGCAAGAAAAAGAAAGUGACUGAUCCUCCAAACCCCUUAGAGAGCACAUUUCUAAUGACCUAACAACUUCCCACUAGGCCCCAACUCUCAAAGGCUUCAUCACUGUCCAAUAACUCAACAUUGAGGAACCAGAGUUUUUAAAACAUGAAUUUUUGAGAGACAGUCAAGAUCAAAAUCAGAGCAAGUAUUAAGUAAUUCAACUUAUUUACAAACAUAUAUAUGUAAGAAAGAGCAAACCUUUAGAGUUUGACCUCACAUUUGCCUUGGUAUAGAACAUCAAAUUGUACUACCUGGGGACUUGCUUCCAACCUUUUCACGACAGGACCUAGACUGAAUAAAUAUAUUUAAAAAAAACACACACACACAUGUAAAGCCUGCAUGAAUUCAAUGUGGUCAUGAACUUGUUCCUGUUAUAUCUGUUCCUUGGAACUCAUAGUACAAACAACUUUCUGAAGCAUCCUUUCUUCUCAGUUGAGAAAUAUGGUAAAAGAUGAGCAUAGGAGUCCAGGCCUUUAAUCCUAGCACUUGGAAGACAGAGGCAGGCAGGUCUCUGUGAGUUUGAGGCCAGCCUGGUCUACAGAGUGAGUUUCAGGACAGCUAGGGCUACAUAGUGAGACCUAGUUUCAAGCAAAACAAAACAAGAGAGAUAGACAGACAGACAGACAGACAGACAGACAGACACAGAGGGGGGAAGCAUCAUAUUCUCAGUAUUUUCUUGUUCUGUGAGAAAUAUUUGUGCUAUGGAAGGAGCCUCAGAGAAUUCUGGGACUGAAUGUUCUUCAGUUUAUGGCUCAGCUCUAGUGUUGGGAGAAGGUCUCGGCUUUGGGUUGUCCCUUGGGGCUAUAACUCCAGUCUGAACUAUUUUCUUCCUGCAACAGAUAUCCCUGAGAAGUUACUCUCACAUGUAACUUCAGACAAAUUGGUGAGCCUUAAAUUCCAAAUGGAUAUUAUUGACUUUAUCAAUUAAGCUUUUCAUGAUAGUUAAGAAUAGACCUUAAAGUCCUCAUUAAAAUCAUCCAAGUUCACUGAGACUUUGUUCCUCUCCUAUUUUCUGCAGCUAGCCAGAGGAAUAACUCCCAGAUACUUUCUGUACAUGCAUGGCUUUUCCCAGUUGUUCUUGAUUACUAUGGUUACCCAUGGGAAAUAUCUGUGUAUAUUUCUGUUUCAAGGACACCAUCAGUCAUAGUUCUGAUAGGCUUGGAUAUCUUAUCUCUGAGAGGGAACAAUUUGAAAUGGCCUCAGAGCCAACAGGCCGUUCCUGUCAAUAUUUCCAAUUGUAAAGAUGUCAAAUGUUUUGCUGUGACUCCUUGGAAAUUGCUGAGGUAUAUUAAGGACUGCUUUUUUACAUCCAGAUCCCUGUGCACACAAAAGGAGAAUUUAACAGAAGCUCAUGCCAUUAGUCAUAUGGAUGCUAGCAAAAGAAUGUGGGUGCUUCUAAUUAAUUUUGUCCUUUUUAAACUAUCUAAUGGGAAAGAGAUGAGAGACUCACCCAUCACUAUCAUGGAAAGAACAUUGGGUAUGAAGUCAAAAGACUUUGGGCUUGUAGAAACUUUCUUCCUGUGAGAAUGUGGGCAAAUAUUUUAAACCCUUUGAGCAUACUUUUUAACAAAUAAAGUGAAAAUAAUGUGGUAUAUUAAUAUCAGAUUAUUUUAGGAGUGAGUGGGGGAACAAAUGAAUAAAUGCAUCCUGAAAUGUCAACCAUUGUCUAAAUAUUGAUGUGCAUUCAUUACAUGCUUUUGAUUACAAGCCACAGAAAUAAACUAUGGCUAAGUAGAGCUAGAAUGAGUUUAUUAGAAGGAUCCUAGAGAGUCAUUGAAUUUUUGAAGAGGUUUGAAGAUUCUGUGGAUACAACAGGAAAUUAGAUUGCUAUGGGCUGGUGAGAUGAUUCAGUGUAUAAAGGGCUCUUGUAUCUAAUCUUCACAACCUGAAUUUGAUCCCUGGGACCCACAUGGUAGAAGGAGAGAAGUGAUUUUCUUGAGUUGUUCUCUGACCUUUACAGGUAUUCCAAGGCAUGCAUAAACCUCUCUACACAAAAUAAGUAAGUCAGUCAGUCAAUCAGUCAGUCAGUCAGUCAGUCAGUCAGUCAGUCAGUAAGUAAGUAGACAUAUAGGUAGGUAGGUAGGUAGGUAGGUAGGUAGGUAGGUAGGUAGGUAAGUAGGUAGGUAGGAAGGUAGGUGGGUAGGUAAGUAGGUAGGUAGGUAGGUAGGUAGGUAGGUAGGUAGGUAAGUAAGUAAGUAGGUAGGUAGGUAGGUAGGUAGUUAGGUAGGUAGGUAAAUAAGUAAGUAAGUAGAUAGGUGAUAGAUGAUAGAUACAAAAAGAUAGAUGAUAGAUAGAUAGAUAGAUAGAUAGAUAGAUAGAUAGAUAGACAGACAGAUAGAUAGAUACAUAAUACAUAGAUAAACAAGACAUAAAUAAAUGUAAUAAAAUUUAACUAAAUAGAAAAAGAAUUAGAUAGCUUUAGAGACAGAGAAGCAGGACAUGCCAGUGGCCUGAGCAGGAACCAUCAUGAAGAUGCAUUGAUUUCUACUUCCAUCCAGUAUCUUUAAUGGUCUGAUCAGCUUUAAAUACUGGAAGAGGUCAUCCAGUUGGCUGAAAUGAAAUCUUAUGCUUGUCCCUUGGGUGUGGAAUGACCUGGUCCUUAGUUACUACUACAUUGGUAUCUUUUGCAAGCAGUGAAUUCUCAAAGAAAGAGUGGUGACAAAAAAAAGAAGAAUCGAUUCUGGACAAUGGAAAAUUCAAGCAAGAUAUUAACACUCUUGGCUACCCAUUAUGUUACAAAACUUCUUCAAAGUCAGCGACUUUGAGCCUCAGAAGCCUGUAUUGUGAUCUCUAUAUACUGACUCUAAUCUCUAGAAUGAGGAUAGUAGGAAGGUGAUUCAAUCAUGAUGCUGGUAGUGUUCUCACUGGUAGGAUCAAUGGCCUUUUGAGAGACAGCCAAGGGGGUUGGUUACUUCUUGUGCCCUAUCAAUACAUAGCAAGAAGGCACUUCCUGUCAACCUGGAAGCAGUUAUCACCAUACCAAAUCUUCCAGCUCCUUAAGCUUAGAUUUUCAAGCCUCCAGAACUGGAGAAAGAGGAAAUGACUCCUUAAACUAUUGCUUAAUCUAUCUCAUAUAUUGUAGAACAUCUCCAGCACACUAAGACAGUAUCCUGAAAUCAAUACUUCCUAUUUUCUCUGUUUGGGAUAUAACAUACAAAUUUUUCAUUCAAAGCCAAUGAUGCUGACCUCUGCUCCUCGCAACCGAGAGAAUGCCUUAUCUUUCUUUUCUGGGAAAGGAAGGGGUCAUCUCUCUCAUCUGACAACUCCCACAAAUAGCAGCAAUUAUGACUCAGAUCAAACCAGGACAAUUCUAACUGUGCUACCCCAAGCAGAGGUGAGAAAGAUGGAGAUCUGACUCAGUUUCCUCAGGUAUCCUUGUUUGGGAUUGUUGCUGUUUUUGGCCUUGGCAACUCUUGAAAUCUACUUGGUCCAGCUUUUCUGUGCACUUUGGGAUGUGCUUCAGGUUAGCCGCUGGGCAGUUUCCACUGUAUAUCAAUGAGCAUGGACAUUGAUAAAAUGACCCUGAAGUGAGCCCUUCAUCCAAAGUGCCUAUAUUGUCAGUUUUUUUCCAAAUAGUACUCCUUUUUUUAAACAUUAAAAAGGUUAUAAACACACACACUUUAACACAUGCACAUAUAACUAAACAAAUACAACCUGCUCUGUCUAUUUAGUGUUCCUUGUACGUAUAUGAUUUCAAGACUGACUCCUUAGUACCAAAUAGCUAGUUGAGGAGCUAAUUCCUUGGGAAGACUAUUUCUCCCACUGUCCACCUUCUUUAGUUGUCUGUAGUUCUUUGUUUAGAGGUGAGGAGGCCCAUGAGAUUUCCUGCUUCCAUGUUAGCAUGUCUCUCGGUGUUGUACUUUAAGUUCUUGCACAGGCAGCCGUGUUGCUAAGGUAUAUUGGAUGAAGCUUUCCUGCCAUUCCCACAAGGCAGAAAUUUACAGCCGAUUUACUGUUCUUCUGGCUCUUAAAUCUUUCUAUACCCUUUUGCAUGAGGUUCCCUGCGCCUUUGGUUGAGUUGUGUUGUAAAUGGAUCCAUUAUGGUUAGGUCUCUGAGGUCCUCCCAGGCUCUGAGAAUGCUGGUGACAAUGUGUAGAGGGUUUCUUGCUCCAGUCACUGUUGUUCCUGCACAACUCCUCUCUCUUGAGCUCUGUGUUCUUGUCCUGCUGGCAGAUGAAUUUCUUUUAAUUAAAGACACUCAGUGGAUAUAAACUUGAGGUAUGUUGACGCAGGGUCUUCCCAUCAUGUAGAACUACUCGGAAAUCUUUCCAAGGAUGCCAGAAAUGAUCUGUUUGGGAAAUUUCCUUCCCAACUGUCAACUGGAUCAGUGUUU